rnacentral:rRNA from 1 species
UGCAGUCGAACGAGGACCAGGGAGCUUGCUCCCUGUAACCGAGUGGCGAACGGGUGAGUAACACGUGAUCAACCUGUCCUAGGGCGGGGGACAACCUGGGGAAACCUGGGCUAAUACCGCAUUAUGUCUCAUUCUCGCAUGGGGAUGAGAUCAAAGAGGGCCUCUGCUUGCAAGCUCUCGCCCAAGGAGGGGAUCGCGACGUAUCAGCUUGUUGGUAGGGUAACGGCCUACCAAGGCUAUGACGCGUAGCGGGUCUGAGAGGAUGACCCGUCACAUUGGGACUGAGAUACGGCCCAGACUCCUACGGGAGGCAGCAGUAGGGAAUAUUGCGCAAUGGACGAAAGUCUGACGCAGCGACGCCGCGUGUGGGAGGAAGCCUUUCGGGGUGUAAACCACUGUCAGAGGGGAAGAAUCUCGUCGGUCUGAAUAUGGCCGACGGCUGACGGUACCCUCAGAGGAAGCGCCGGCUAACUCCGUGCCAGCAGCCGCGGUAAGACGGAGGGCGCAAGCGUUGUUCGGAAUUACUGGGCGUAAAGGGCGGGCAGGCGGUCCGUUAAGUCUUCUGUGAAAAUCCGGGGCUCAACCCCGUGAAAUGCAGGAGAAACUGGCGGACUAGAGACCGGUAGAGGCUAGCGGAAUUCCUGGUGUAGCGGUGGAAUGCGUAGAUAUCAGGAAGAACACCUGUGGCGAAGGCGGCUAGCU